rnacentral:tRNA from 1 species
AGCAGUGUGGCUUAGUGGAAAGAGCAUGGGCUUGGGAGUCAGAGGUCCUAGGUCCUAAUCCCAGCUCUGCCA